UACGUAGGGUGCGAGCGUUGUCCGGAAUUAUUGGGCGUAAAGGGCGCGUAGGCGGCCCUGUGUGUCGGGUGUGAAAGCCCACCUCUUAAAGGUGGAAUUGCAUUCGAAACUACAGGGCUGGAGUGUCGGAGAGGAUGGCGGAAUUCCUGGUGUAGAGGUGAAAUUCGUAGAUAUCAGGAGGAACACCGGUGGCGAAGGCGGCCAUCUGGACCACAACUGACGCUGAGGCGCGAAAGCGUGGGGAUCAAACAGG
rnacentral:rRNA from 1 species